UAGAGGCAGCAGAUCAGUUAGGAAGCCACCUGACAUACAGUGGCCAAUAGAGAGUAACAGUAACAGCUCAGUGAGAAAGACCAAUGGAAAGAGAGCAGAAAACAGUCUGAUGACACAUCACCAGGGGUAUCAGUGGCUCUACAAGCAUCAUCAGAACCAUGACUUUCUCUGGCUAUGGAUCUUUAGUCACUGAUGUUCUCUAUGGAAAAUCCCAGGAACUCUUCUUUAAAGAGCUGAUUUGGAGGUGCAGAGAUGGAAAUAUAUGUUGAAGGAUAGGUCAGGCCCUGCCACAACAACUGAGAACAGGGGUUAGGGCUUGGAUAAUCAUAUGGCUGAGGCCAACUUCUUUAGGAGGGAACCUUUGCAUCCUGUCAACUCAUCAUCAGAAAAGGGAAGCAUAAACACUCUUUGGAUCUCUAAGCUUCAUGUAUCACAGACAGCAACUUGGUAGUCUAGGCACCCAAACCGUUUUUAUCCUAUCUCCCAAGAGGUAAGACAGAUCCAAGUAAAUGAGCUGGGUCCUGGAGAGAGAAGGGGAUGGGAGGGGAGGAAGGAGGCAGAUGGAACAAAAAGGGAAGAGAAACAGUAGGUAGGGAAUGGAUUGAAGACCAGAUCCUUAGCAGAAUGCAGAGCCCUGAGCUUUGUACCCUAAGCUCCCCUCCCCUCUGUUCUAAAAAAAUUUUAAUGAACAUCAAAGAUAUCUUUAAAAGGCAAAAGUCAAUGGCAACUUACAACCAAGCUGAUUUCCCAGUUUGUUGUAGAAUCAUCUUUACCAUUGAAUAUUGAUAGAAAGGGGCUUGAGAUCAUUUAUAGUUCAGGAGUCCUUAACCUGAGGUUUGGAAACAUAUUUGUUUUUUUAAAUAUUUGGAUAAUUAUAUUACAGCAUAAUUGGUUUCUUUGUAAACCCGUGUAUUUUAUUUUCUGCAUUAAAAACAUUGUCCUGAGAA